UAGCUGGUCUGAGAGGAUGAUCAGCCACAUCGGGACUGAGACACGGCCCGAACUCCUACGGGAGGCAGCAGUGGGGAAUAUUGGACAAUGGGGGCAACCCUGAUCCAGCCAUGCCGCGUGUGUGAAGAAGGCUUUCGGGUUGUAAAGCACUUUCAGUGAGGAGGAAAAGUGGGUCCCUAAUACGGGCUCGCCUUGACGUUACUCACAGAAGAAGCACCGGCUAACUCCGUGCCAGCAGCCGCGGUAAUACGGAGGGUGCAAGCGUUAAUCGGAAUUACUGGGCGUAAAGCGCGCGUAGGUGGUUUGAUAAGCGAGAUGUGAAAGCCCCGGGCUUAACCUGGGAACGGCAUUUCGAACUGUCAGCUAGAGUAUGGUAGAGGGUAGUGGAAUUUCCUGUGUAGCGGUGAAAUGCGUAGAUAUA
rnacentral:rRNA from 1 species